AGAAGCCCUGUGCAACAGAUUGGAGAUGCCACAACCAAGCCCAUAUACUUUGUUGUUAACACUUUACUUUGAAAGUCUGAGGAAAGGUAUUGAAUCUCCAUCCAGGAAUUUGGCACAUGGUGGAGCAGCGCUGUUUCAAGAUUCAUUUACAAGGGGAAUGCUGGAGAGUUUGGCUUCUCUAGUUCUUUUCCACAGACUUCUUCCUGGAGCUAUUCCAAGCUUGGCCACAGGCUUGACCAAGGGUAUGCAGCUCACAAGAGUACAAAUUGUUGCAGGUCUUCAAGGUGACAGCAAAGCUGGUGCAGACUUGAAUGUGCCUCUGCACCUUAACAAAGCAGCCA
ensembl:lncRNA